UUGGCACCUGUCACGAAAUCUUUGCUUGUUCCCAUGUCCAGAACAGUAUUGCAUAGGUUGUCUUCCAGAGACUUUGUAGUUUUGGUUUUUACAUUUAAAUCUUUAAUCCAUCUUGAGUUGAUUUUUUAUAUGUUUCAUGUACGGAAGGGGGCC